rnacentral:rRNA from 1 species
CCUACGGGAGGCAGCAGUAGGAAUAUUGGGCAAUGGACGCAAGUCUGACCCAGCCAUGCCGCGUGCAGGAUGACGGCCCUAUGGGUUGUAAACUGCUUUUCUACGGGAAGAAACACUCUGAUUAUUCGGAGCUUGACGGUACCGUAGGAAUAAGGAUCGGCUAACUCCGUGCCAGCAGCCGCGGUAAUACGGAGGAUCCAAGCGUUGUCCGGAUUCAUUGGGUUUAAAGGGUGCGUAGGCGGGCUAUUAAGUCAGAGGUGAAAUCUUGCGGCUCAACCGUAAAAUUGCCUUUGAAACUGGUAGCCUUGAAUUCGGUCGAGGUGGAUGGAAUGUGUCAUGUAGCGGUGAAAUGCUUAGAUAUGACCCAGAACACCAAUUGCGAAGGCAGUUCACUAGACCGACAUUGACGCUGAGGCACGAAAGCGUGGGUAGCGAACAGGAUUAGAUACCCUGGUAGUCCACGCCCUAAACGAUGAUUACUCGCUGUUGGCGAUAUACAGUCAGCGGCUAAGCGAAAGCGUUAAGUAAUCCACCUGGGGAGUACGAUCGCAAGGUUGAAACUCAAAGGAAUUGACGG